UACAUGGGGUGCAAACGUUGCUCGGAAUUAUUGGGCGUAAAGCGCACGUAGGCGGUUUGUUAAGUCGGAUGUGAAAUCCCUCGGCUCAACUGAGGAAGUGCAUCCGAAACUGGCAGGCUUGAGUACUAAAGAGGGUCGCGGAAUUCCCGGUGUAGAGGUGAAAUUCGUAGAUAUCGGGAGGAACACCGGUGGCGAAGGCGGCGACCUGGGUAGAUACUGACGCUGAGGUGCGAAAGCGGGGGGAGCAAACAGG
rnacentral:rRNA from 1 species